UGGAUCCAGACUUUGAUCAUGGCUCAGGAUGAACGCUAGCUACAGGCUUAACACAUGCAAGUCGAGGGGAAACGAUAUUGGAAGCUUGCUCCCGAUAGGCGUCGACCGGCGCACGGGUGAGUAACGCGUAUCCAACCUGCCCAUCACUUGGGGAUAACCUUGCGAAAGUAAGACUAAUACCCAAUGACGUCUCUAGAAGACAUCUGAAAGAGAUUAAAGAUUUAUCGGUGAUGGAUGGGGAUGCGUCUGAUUAGCUUGUUGGCGGGGUAACGGCCCACCAAGGCAACGAUCAGUAGGGGUUCUGAGAGGAAGGUCCCCCACAUUGGAACUGAGACACGGUCCAAGCUCCUACGGGAGGCAGCAGUGAGGAAUAUUGGUCAAUGGACGAGAGUCUGAACCAGCCAAGUAGCGUGCAGGAUGACGGCCCUAUGGGUUGUAAACUGCUUUUAUAAGGGAAUAAAGUGAGUCUCGUGAGACUUUUUGCAUGUACCUUAUGAAUAAGGACCGGCUAAUUCCGUGCCAGCAGCCGCGGUAAUACGGAAGGUCCGGGCGUUAUCCGGAUUUAUUGGGUUUAAAGGGAGCGUAGGCCGGAGAUUAAGCGUGUUGUGAAAUGUAGACGCUCAACGUCUGCACUGCAGCGCGAACUGGUUUCCUUGAGUACGCACAAAGUGGGCGGAAUUCGUGGUGUAGCGGUGAAAUGCUUAGAUAUCACGAAGAACUCCGAUUGCGAAGGCAGCUCACUGGAGCGCAACUGACGCUGAAGCUCGAAAGUGCGGGUAUCGAACAGGAUUAGAUACCCUGGUAGUCCGCACGGUAAACGAUGGAUGCCCGCUGUUGGUCUGAAUAGGUCAGCGGCCAAGCGAAAGCAUUAAGCAUCCCACCUGGGGAGUACGCCGGCAACGGUGCAACUCAAAUGAAUUGACGGA
rnacentral:rRNA from 1 species